UACGUAGGGUGCAAGCGUUAAUCGGAAUUACUGGGCGUAAAGCGUGCGCAGGCGGUUUUGUAAGUCAGAUGUGAAAUCCCCGGGCUUAACCUGGGAACUGCGUUUGAAACUACAAGGCUAGAGUGUGGCAGAGGGGGGUGGAAUUCCACGUGUAGCAGUGAAAUGCGUAGAGAUGCGGAGGAACACCGAUGGCGAAGGCAGCCCCCUGGGCUAACACUGACGCUCAGGCACGAAAGCGUGGGGAGCAAACAGG
rnacentral:rRNA from 1 species